GAUGAACGCUGGCGGCGUGCUUAACACAUGCAAGUCGAACGAAGCAUUUGCGACAGAUUUUUUCGGAAUGAAGUUGCUUAUGACUGAGUGGCGGACGGGUGAGUAACGCGUGGGUAACCUGCCUUGUACUGGGGGAUAGCAGCUGGAAACGGCUGGUAAUACCGCAUAAGCGCACAAUGUUGCAUGACAUGGUGUGAAAAACUCCUGUGGUAUAAGAUGGACCCGCGUCUGAUUAGCUAGUUGGUGAGAUAACAGCCCACCAAGGCGACGAUCAGUAGCCGACCUGAGAGGGUGACCGGCAACAUUGGGACUGAGACACGGCCCAGACUCCUACGGGAGGCAGCAGUGGGGAAUAUUGCACAAUGGAGGAAACUCUGAUGCAGCGACGCCGCGUGAGUGAAGAAGUAAUUCGUUAUGUAAAGCUCUAUCAGCAGGGAAGAUAGUGACGGUACCUUACUAAGAAGCUACGGCUAAAUACGUG
rnacentral:rRNA from 1 species